rnacentral:rRNA from 1 species
GACGAACGCUGGCGGCGUGCUUAACACAUGCAAGUCGAACGGUGAAGCGCCUUCCUUUUUGGUGGGUGUGGAUGAGUGGCGAACGGGUGAGUAACACGUUAGUAACCUGCCCCCUUCUUCUGGAUAACCGCAUGAAAGUGUGGCUAAUACGGGAUAUUCUGGGUCUGUCGCAUGAUGGGUCUGGGAAAGAUAUUGUUUCGGUGGGGGAUGGGCUCGCGGCCUAUCAGCUUGUUGGUGGGGUGAUGGCCUACCAAGGCGGUGACGGGUAGCCGGCCUGAGAGGGUCGACGGUCACACGGGGGAGGCGCCACGGCCAAGACUCCUAGGGGCGGCAGCGGUGGGGAAUAGUGCACAAUGGGCGCAAGCCUGAUGCAGCGACGCCGCGUGAGGGAUGGAGGCCUUCGGGUUGUGAACCUCUUUCGCCAGUGAAGCAGGCCUGCCUCGUUUGUGGGUGGGUUGACGGUAGCUGGAUAAGAAGCGCCGGCUAACUACGUG